rnacentral:rRNA from 1 species
AACGAACGCUGGCGGCAGGCCUAACACAUGCAAGUCGAGCGGACCCUUCGGGGUUAGCGGCGGACGGGUGAGUAACGCGUGGGAAUAUGCCCUUCUCUACGGAAUAGUCCUGGGAAACUGGGGGUAAUACCGUAUACGCCCUUUGGGGGAAAGAUUUAUCGGGGAAGGAUUAGCCCGCGUUGGAUUAGGUAGUUGGUGGGGUAAUGGCCUACCAAGCCGACGAUCCAUAGCUGGUUUGAGAGGAUGAUCAGCCACACUGGGACUGAGACACGGCCCAGACUCCUACGGGAGGCAGCAGUGGGGAAUCUUAGACAAUGGGGGCAACCCUGAUCUAGCCAUGCCGCGUGAGUGAUGAAGGCCUUAGGGUUGUAAAGCUCUUUCAGCUGGGAAGAUAAUGACGGUACCAGCAGAAGAAGCCCCGGCUAACCCCGUG